rnacentral:rRNA from 1 species
GAUGAACGCUGGCGGCGUGCCUAAUACAUGCAAGUCGAGCGAACGGACGAGAAGCUUGCUUCUCUGAUGUUAGCGGCGGACGGGUGAGUAACACGUGGAUAACCUACCUAUAAGACUGGGAUAACUUCGGGAAACCGGAGCUAAUACCGGAUGAUAUUUUGAACCGCAUGGUUCAAAAGUGAAUGACGGUCUUGCUGUCACUUAUAGAUGGAUCCGCGCUGCAUUAGCUAGUUGGUAAGGUAACGGCUUACCAAGGCAACGAUGCAUAGCCGACCUGAGAGGGUGAUCGGCCACACUGGAACUGAGACACGGUCCAGACUCCUACGGGAGGCAGCAGUAGGGAAUCUUCCACAAUGGGCGAAAGCCUGACGGAGCAACGCCGCGUGAGUGAUGAAGGUCUUCGGAUCGUAAAACUCUGUUAUUAGGGAAGAACAUAUGUGUAAGUAACUGUGCACAUCUUGACGGUACCUAAUCAGAAAGCCACGGCUAACUACGUG